AUGUACUUGCGUACAACAUUGAUGUAACGGAUCUCAUUAGAACUUUGUAGUUAAGCAUGCUUGGUAUAGAGUAGUAUUGGGAUGGGUGACCUCCCAAGAAGUCCUAGUGUUUUACAUG
rnacentral:rRNA from 1 species